AAGGAUCAUUAUCGAAUCCUUAGGAUGUUGCUGGCCUCUCGGGGCACCGUGCACUCCGCCUUUUCAUCUCACCUGUGCACUUAUUGUAGGCCGGACUUGUCAUGAGUCUGUGUCUAUGUUUUUAACACACACCUUUAUAAAAAAGUCUAUUGAAUGUCUUUGUUGAGUAGACCUUUACUGGUCGAAAAAAUUAAAUACAACUUUCAACAAUGGAUCUCUUGGUUCUC
rnacentral:misc_RNA from 1 species